rnacentral:rRNA from 1 species
GACGAACGCUGGCGGCGUGCUUAACACAUGCAAGUCGAACGGAAAGGCCCUGCUUUUGUGGGGUGCUCGAGUGGCGAACGGGUGAGUAACACGUGAGUAACCUGCCCUUGACUUUGGGAUAACUUCAGGAAACUGGGGCUAAUACCGGAUAGGAGCUCCUGCUGCAUGGUGGGGGUUGGAAAGUUUCGGCGGUUGGGGAUGGACUCGCGGCUUAUCAGCUUGUUGGUGGGGUAGUGGCUUACCAAGGCUUUGACGGGUAGCCGGCCUGAGAGGGUGACCGGCCACAAUGGGACUGAGAUACGGCCCAGACUCCUACGGGAGGCAGCAGGGGGGAAUAUUGCACAAUGGGCGGAAGCCUGAUGCAGCAACGCCGCGUGCGGGAUGACGGCCUGCGGGUUGUAAACCGCUUUCGCCUGUGACGAAGCGUGAGUGACGGUAAUGGGUAAAGAAGCACCGGCUAACUACGUG